UUCCUACGACUCCUCCUGAAGGUCUCGCGCACAACACGGCUGACGUCGUCACCAAGGUUGCCAUCGAGACGCGGGUGAACAUCGACAUGGUGGCGAUCCGUAGGCAGGGGUUCACCAAUGUCCAGGUCAAGACCCGGAUUGCCACCGCGAUCAGCCAGCUGGUCAACAACGGCGGCCUCGGGGAGAACCUCCCUGUCUCCAAGAUCAUCGAGGCAGCGGAGUCCCCCCGGU
rnacentral:rRNA from 1 species